rnacentral:rRNA from 1 species
UACGUAGGGUGCGAGCGUUAAUCGGAAUUACUGGGCGUAAAGCGUGCGCAGGCGGUUUUGUAAGUCAGAUGUGAAAGCCCCGGGCUCAACCUGGGAACUGCGUUUGAAACUACAAGGCUAGAGUAUGGGAGAGGGGGGUAGAAUUCCACGUGUAGCAGUGAAAUGCGUAGAGAUGUGGAGGAAUACCAAUGGCGAAGGCAGCCCCCUGGCCUAAUACUGACGCUCAUGCACGAAAGCGUGGGGAGCAAACAGGAUUAGAUACCCUGGUAGUCCACGCCCUAAACGAUGUCAACUAGUUGUUGGUGGAGUAAAAUCCAUUAGUAACGCAGCUAACGCGUGAAGUUGACCGCCUGGGGAGUACGGUCGCAAGAUUAAA